AUUGAACGCUGGCGGCAUGCUUUACACAUGCAAGUCGAACGGUAACAGGUUAAGCUGACGAGUGGCGAACGGGUGAGUAAUGCAUCGGAACGUGCCCGGUCGUGGGGGAUAACGCAGCGAAAGCUGCGCUAAUACCGCAUACGAUUUGAGGAUGAAAGCGGGGGACCGUAAGGCCGCGCGCGAUCGGAGCGGGCGAGGUCAGAUUAGGUAGUUGGUGGGGUAAAGGCUGACCAAGCCAACGAUCUGUAGCUAGUCUGGGAGGCCGACCAGCCACGCUGAGACUGCGACAUCGCCCGGAAUCCUACGGGAGGCAGCAGUGGGGAAUUUUGGACGAUGGGCGAAAGCCUGAUCGAGAAAUGCCGAGUGAAGGAAGAAGGCCUUCGGGUUGUGACCUGCUUUUGUACGGAGCGAAAAGGUCUCCUCUAAUACAGGGGGCUCAUGACGGUACCGUAAGAAUAAGCACCGGCUAACUACGUGCCAGCCGCCGCCGUAA
rnacentral:rRNA from 1 species